ensembl:lncRNA
ACUUAAGGGUUGACCCUUGCUAGGAAGGGGUCUCUGAUUGGAGAUCUUUUCUCUGGGGAAGUUUCUUCUGCAAGCCUAGAUCCUCAGAGACUGCAUUCAGGAACAUCUGCAAGUUGGUCCAAAAGGUAUAUGGAAGCCCCAGGGAGAAGACAACUGUACCAUACCUCACAACAACUCCUUGUGCCCCCCAGUCUCCUUGCUGGAUGGACAAUAUGAGAAGCUGAGAAACAGAACUGUUCUUGGCUCCAUGCAGCACUGCUCAGCAACAGCUAGAAACACUGAUUUGUUAUCAGCAUUUUUUUUCUCCUAAGCAUCAUACCAGACACCAUGAAGGAAAAUUCAACUCUGUCCCAGCUGAAACCAGGAAAGAAUUAUAUGAAAUUCUCAGCAUCAUAUACAAUAGAUCCUUUCCUGUGGGUUUUCCAUUCUUCAUUGUUUAUCAUGUCAUGUGAUGGAACACAUUCAAAUUUUUUUAGUAUUCAUACGUUUUGUACAGAUAAGUGCUUUAGUUGUUGGUAUGCCCUCCCAUUGGUCAAGGCUGCAUGGAUGUUCUGUGAUUUAUUAAUCAGUGGUGAAUUCUUCAGGACCAAUAGGAACACCAGCCCUUGGACUUGAGGAGAACACACACUGAAAUUUUCUCGAUGCAGAACAGUGAAAUACCCUUAUAUGAACCUGCAUUUAAAACACUCUAUAACACCUUUCACCAAAGCCUCCAAAACUUUUCAAAUUUGCUAAUGUGAUUAAAUUUUGAAUGCUAGCCAGUUUAAUUAUUAUUUAUUUUACCUGGUGUGAUUCCUAGGAUGGAGUCAAGAGUGUCUUUUUGUAUCAUUUGUCAAAUAAGCAUAUACUGUCCAUAAAUGAUAUUGCUCUUUUUCCAAGGACGUCACUUUCACGAUAUCACUGACUCUUAAAUGCCUUUAUUAUAGACUCAAACUUCUUAAAUUAUGCUAACUUUUAACAUUAAAGAACUGAAUCAUGAACCUGGGGCAAUCAAUUAUUAUACUGAGAAAACAGAUCCUACUAAGAUGGGGAUCAUCCAGCUUCAGGUCCUUCUGAAUUAGAUGAAGACUGAAAAGAGAUAUGGGAGAUUAAGAGAACUAAGAAACUAACUAUUGCUGAAAAGUUCACCAUAAGAGGGGAAAAAAAGCUGAUUUUUUUUAAUUUUGAGAUGUAUUAGUUAUGAUUUUAAAGUAUCCAUUUUGGUAGUAUUUGUAGUGCCUUGAUUGCCAAGUCCUGUAACUUCUCUAAUUGCAAUUAUUGCUAUUAAGGUCUUGCUCCCUGAAAAAUCUGCUGCCAAAACAGUUUUUCUGUACAGUUUUGCUACAUUUCUUCCUACUAAUCAAACCACUCAAAUAGAGAUCCAUAUUUUAUUUCCUGUAAGCACCUGCAAUUUUUUUAAUAAAACUUAAUGUCUAC